UGGUAGGUAAGCGAGAAAUUUGCGAGCGGUUUCGGCCCGUUGUUUGAUAGUGAAAGUCUGUCUCUACUAG
rnacentral:tRNA from 1 species